rnacentral:lncRNA from 1 species
GGAAGGCUGAGGCAGGAGGGCCGCUUGAGCCCAGGAGUUAGAAUCCACUCUGAGUAACACAAUGAGACCCCGUCUCUAAAACCCAGAAAAAGGCCAGGUACGAGACCGUGCCGGUGCCCCACCAGUCCCCUCCCCUUCCUGAGGCUCCUGCUCCAGGCAGUUCUCCUAGGAGCAGGCCCGGCCUCUGGCUGCACUGGACGAGCGCAAGGCAGAUCUGGAGGCCCCCUGCCGGCGGGAUGCCAAGAUCAGCUGGUCACUAAGUCCCAAUGGAGUCAUCAUCCGUGUUACUAAGAAAGUGAGGGGCCCGCGGCACAAACCACAAGCGGGAGCGAGGAGAAUCUGGAAAGCCGAGUGGGAGAGGUAGCUGGAAGGGCCGGCUGCGCGGGCCUGGGAGUAUCCUGGAGGUCGGGCAUGUACCGGCAUUUUUGUGCGGUGAUUUUUUCAAUUCAGUCCCAAAGAAGUCCGGGGUGGGUGGGCGAGGCGCAUCUAAAAGGGCAGGAAUGGGAUGAGCGGAAGGCACGGUUUCCUAAGAGGGCUAUGCAGUAAUUACUACAACAGUGACAAGGUUGGAAAGAAAAGAAGGAAACCAAACAUUAUAAAAUAUAGAGGCUGUGCCUUUUAAAUCAAGAAUAGCCAAUUAGCCUAUUGUGUUAUGUAAUAUCUCAUUCAUUAGUGAUUGAAUUACCUCUGGCUGCAUGUACUGUUUCCCUGAAGUUAAUUUUUAUUCCAUUAUGAAGGAAUAAAUCAAAUCCAUUGAAAGGAAAUCUGACCUCUUUGCUGUCUACAGGAGGAAGGCCUUGAACCAAGUCUUUUUUGUGGUUUAAUAUUUUCGGUUUCAACUUAAUAAAGAGGAGCCUGAGGGAUAAGAAAAGAGGU